GGGGAAUUUUCCGCAAUGGGCGAAAGCCUGACGGAGCAAUACCGCGUGAGGGAAGACUGCCUAUGGGUUGUAAACCUCUUUUUUCAGGGAGGAACAAAAUGACGUGUACCUGAAGAAUAAGCAUCGGCUAACUCCGUGCCAGCAGCCGCGGUAAGACGGAGGAUGCAAGUGUUAUCCGGAAUCACUGGGCGUAAAGCGUCUGUAGGUGGUUUAAUAAGUCAACUGUUAAAUCUUGAGGCUCAACUUCAAAAUCGCAGUCGAAACUAUUAGACUAGAGUAUAGUAGAGGUAAAGGGAAUUUCCAGUGGAGCGGUGAAAUGCGUAGAUAUUGGAAAGAACACCGAUGGCGAAAGCACUUUACUGGGCUAUUACUAACACUCAGAGACGAAAGCUAGGGUAGCAAAUGGGAUUAGAUACUCCUGUAGUC
rnacentral:rRNA from 1 species